rnacentral:RNase_MRP_RNA from 2 species
GCGCAGCACGAAGGGCCACUCUCGGUGGAAACCAUGGCAAAACCCCCCGCAAGGGGGGAGCACAUUGCAUGAGACUCUGAUGAGACCACCGGGCGAAAGUCCCCGGGCAACGAGGCAGAAAGUGCCACCCCGAAAGGGAAGGACCCCGCAGCGCACGGGUCCCCUCCGGGGGAUUACGGGCCUGGGGGCAGCUUGCCGUAGCAACAGUUAUGUGGCCAGUGGGGACACAACCCACCAACACAACGGGGCUUACUCUCGUGCUGACG